rnacentral:rRNA from 1 species
UACGGAGGGUGCAAGCGUUAUCCGGAUUUACUGGGUUUAAAGGGUGUGUAGGCGGACUUUUAAGUCAGCGGUGAAAUCUCCGGGCUCAACCCGGAAACUGCCAUUGAUACUAUUUGUCUUGAAUGUUGUUGAGGUGGGCGGAACGGGUCAUGUAGCGGUGAAAUGCAUAGAUAUGACCCGGAACACCGAUUGCGAAGGCAGCCCACUAAGCAACGAUUGACGCUGAGGCGCGAAAGCGUGGGGAUCAAACAGG